rnacentral:rRNA from 1 species
AUUGAACGCUGGCGGCAGGCCUAACACAUGCAAGUCGAACGAGUGGCGGACGGGUGAGUAAUGUCUGGGAAACUGCCCGAUGGAGGGGGAUAACUACUGGAAACGGUAGCUAAUACCGCAUACCCUCGGAUGUGCCCAGAUGGGAUUAGCUUGUAGGUGAGGUAACGGCUCACCUAGGCGACGAUCCCUAGCUGGUCUGAGAGGAUGACCAGACAAACUGGAACGGAGCGACGGUCCAGACUCAUACGGGAGGCAGCAGUGGGGAAUAUUGGAGAAUGGGCGCAAGCGUGAUGCAGCCAUGCCGCGUGUAUGAAGAAGGCCUUCGGGUUGUAAAGUACUUGCAUCGGGGAGGCGUUACCCGCAGAAGAAGCACCGGCUAAAUCCGGGCCAGCAGCCGCGGUAAUAC